ensembl:lncRNA
GUUUCUUACUGAAGAUCCUUGUGUACCUGAGGCCUUUUGAAGAUCAGCUUUCCUCUGUGAACUCUUAAAAACUUGCUUUUAAGGAAUUUAAGAAUGUUAUCUGCAUCUUCAAGAGCCACUAGCCAUCAGAAUAUCAAAACAAGGAACCUAGGAGAAAUGAUAUAUGAAAAGAAGAAAGGGCAUCCCUAGGUGAUUCCAAGGACAGAGGCAUGAAAUGAGCACACAUGCAUGAACUGGAGAGAAAGAACCUUAGUGCAAUAAACUGCUUUGUUGAAGGGCAGUUCAGCAUCUUUCCUGGGAGAAAGCUUCCGUGGGCAGUGGCCCUUUGUGGUGCCCAGCAGUACUUGCCUG